AUGUUCGCUUCAGCAGCACAUAUACUAAAACUGGAAUGAUACAGAGAAGACUAGCAUGGCCCCUGCACAAGGAUAACACGCAAAUUCAUGAAGCACUCUAUAUUUUG
rnacentral:snRNA from 1 species